rnacentral:rRNA from 1 species
UACGGGGGGGGCAAGCGUUGUUCGGAAUUACUGGGCGUAAAGGGCUCGUAGGCGGCCAACUAAGUCGGACGUGAAAUCCCUCGGCUUAACCGGGGAACUGCGUCCGAUACUGGAUGGCUAGAGUUCGGGAGAGGGAUGCGGAAUUCCAGGUGUAGCGGUGAAAUGCGUAGAUAUCUGGAGGAACGCCGGUGGCGAAGGCGGCAUCCUGGACCGACACUGACGCUGAGGAGCGAAAGCCAGGGGAGCAAACGGG